rnacentral:rRNA from 1 species
CUUUGAGCGAUUCAACUUUCCAUGAAGCACACACCUCACUAUUCACAGGACUGCAAGGAGGACGAAAAUAAAAUAAAAUGCGCGACAGAUCAGCCAUGGACCAGUACCUCAUUUGAAGUGACCGGAGGGGCAGUCGAGCGAAGUCCUGUCUCAUCUUCAACACUUGGUUCAGCAGCAAGCCCUUCCAAGGCAGAAGGUUCUGCAGGAGGGAUUUCUACUGGGUUCUCUUGCAGCUGCUGUACCUUUUCUCUUGAAACUUUUGGUUUUGUCUUGGACGUUUUCUGCUUUGUAGCGAUAGGUCUCGUUUCAGCCUUUGCAGUGAUAGAUGCUACGGAGGGAGCUUUUGUGACCAAUCUCUGGCCGGGUUUGCUAGCAGUAACCCGAGGUUUAUUAUUUUCCGCACCUCUGUUUACCUUGGCUGGAUUAGUUGUGCGCCGUGGGCUCUCACAUGAGACGGAGCCAUCUGCAGAAGCAGCAGUGACAGAACUGGUUGGCUUGUGUCGGCCAAGCUUCGGUGACCUAGCACGUGUUGGUGCAAUCUGCAAAAGGCCACAAGUUUAUAUCAGGAUGCUAUGUUUACGAAUGUAG